GUGGCGGACGGGUGAGUAACGCGUGAGUAACCUGCCCUUCAGAGGGGGAUAGCGUUUGGAAACGAACGGUAAUACCGCAUAAUGUAUUUUGACCGCAUGAUCGAAAUACCAAAGAUUUAUCGCUGAAGGAUGGACUCGCGUCUGAUUAGGUAGUUGGUGGGGUAACGGCCUACCAAGCCGACGAUCAGUAGCCGGACUGAGAGGUUGAUCGGCCACAUUGGGACUGAGACACGGCCCAGACUCCUACGGGAGGCAGCAGUGGGGAAUAUUGCACAAUGGGCGCAAGCCUGAUGCAGCAACGCCGCGUGAAGGAAGACGGUUUUCGGAUUGUAAACUUCUGUUCUUAGUGAAGAAUAAUGACGGUAGCUAAGGAGCAAGCCACGGCUAACUACGUGCCAGCAGCCGCGGUAAUACGUAGGUGGCAAGCGUUGUCCGGAAUUACUGGGUGUAAAGGGAGCGCAGGCGGGUGAUCAAGUCAGCUGUGAAAACUACGGGCUUAACCCGUAGACUGCAGUUGAAACUGUUCAUCUUGAGUGAAGUAGAGGUUGGCGGAAUUCCGAGUGUAGCGGUGAAAUGCGUAGAUAUUCGGAGGACACCGGUGGCGAAGGCGGCCAACUGGGC
rnacentral:rRNA from 1 species